CCCUAUGGGGUGCAGCAGGCGACAUCGUGGUUGGCGCCGCCUCCGGAAAGACCGGUGUCGUUGUGGCUGUCUAUGUGGCUUCCGGUACCUGGGGGAGUGGCAACGCGGCAGGAUUCCUCUAUCUGAAGUAUCCUGGAGCUGAUUGGGCCAAUUGGAACAACCCCGAGGAUAUCCAGGUUGGUGGAGUCACCAGAGCAGCGACAACUGGAACAGGUGAAGCGCUUGGGCUGACCAGGCAGAAUGCAGAGACAUACUGCAACAACAUCGGCAGCACUCGGUGGGGCUGUGAGAACAUAUGGACGCUCGAUGCGUUGACGAUGCUCUACUUGGUGGAAUACGCCAACUGGAACUCGCAGUCCACCAGCGUCGGAAUUGGCGGGGGAGC
rnacentral:rRNA from 1 species